AGGAGCAAUGCAGUCAUAUACGUGGUCACUAACGUACACAGUGACGACAGCGGCUGGGUCGCCGGCUGAGAACUCCCAACAACUACCCUGUAUGAGGAGCACCCACGUGCCUUCUUCCUCUGUCACACACAGGAUACCAGUCUACUCCCACAGGGAGGAGCAUGGGUACACGGGAAGCUAUAACUACGGGAGCUAUGGCAACCAGCAUCCUCACCCACUGCAGAACCAGUAUCCAGCCCUGCCUCAUGACACAGCCAUCUCUGGGCC
rnacentral:lncRNA from 1 species